AAUUUAAUACUUAGUGUUGUUUAUCAUGUUCGUCUUCAGAAUUUACACGUACCGACGAAUCAUCGAAAUGUAUUCGGACACCCUCAAUAUGAUCAAAGUAUUUAUUCAUUCUUUUUCGGAAACGAUUCCGGUGCCAUUGCGAUAUUCCAAACGGAAGUCUUUUAAAACUGUACGAUCCAACAGGACUACGGAACCAGGGCUCGCAGGAACCGAAAUUAAAAACAUCGGUGUUUUGACCGUACCUUUCG